GAUGAACGCUGGCGGCGUGCCUAAUACAUGCAAGUCGAGCGAAUGGAUUAAGAGCUUGCUCUUAUGAAGUUAGCGGCGGACGGGUGAGUAACACGUGGGUAACCUGCCCAUAAGACUGGGAUAACUCCGGGAAACCGGGGCUAAUACCGGAUAACAUUUUGAACCGCAUGGUUCGAAAUUGAAAGGCGGCUUCGGCUAUCACUUAUGGAUGGCCCCGGGUCGCAUUAGCUAGUUGGUGAGGUAACGGCUCACCAAGGCAACGAUGCGUAGCCGACCUGAGAGGGUGAUCGGCCACACUGGGACUGAGACACGGCCCAGACUCCUACGGGAGGCAGCAGUAGGGAAUCUUCCGCAAUGGACGAAAGUCUGACGGAGCAACGCCGCGUGAGUGAUGAAGGCUUUCGGGUCGUAAAACUCUGUUGUUAGGGAAGAACAAGUGCUAGUUGAAUAAGCUGGCACCUUGACGGUACCUAACCAGAAAGCCACGGCUAACUACGUGCCAGCAGCCGCAGUAA
rnacentral:rRNA from 1 species